rnacentral:rRNA from 1 species
UACGUAGGGGGCAAGCGUUGUCCGGAUUUAUUGGGCGUAAAGAGCGUGUAGGCGGCUUUACAGGUCCGUUGUGAAAACUCGAGGCUCAACCUCGAGACGCCGGUGGAAACCGUAAAGCUAGAGUCCGGAAGAGGAGAGUGGAAUUCCUGGUGUAGCGGUGAAAUGCGCAGAUAUCUGGAGGAACACCGGUGGCGAAGGCGGCAUCCUGGACCGGUAUUGACGCUGAGGCGCGAAAGCUAGGGGAGCAAACGGG